CCUACGGGUGGCAGCAGUGGGGAAUAUUGCACAAUGGGGGAAACCCUGAUGCAGCGACGCCGCGUGAGUGAAGAAGUAUUUCGGUAUGUAAAGCUCUAUCAGCAGGGAAGAAAAUGACGGUACCUGAUUAAGAAACCCCGGCUAACUACGGGCCAGCAGCCGCGGUAAUAGGUAGGUGGCGAGCGUUAUCCGGAACCAUGGGGCGUAAAGAGGGAGCAGGCGGCCUGGAGGGUCUAUUGUUAAAAGGCAAUGGCUUAACCAUUGUAAGGCGAAGAAACCGGCAGGCUAGAGUUCUAAAGAGGAUCGUGGAAUUCCAUGUGUAGCGGUGAAAUGCGUAGAUAUAUGGAGGAACACCAGUGGCGAAGGCGACGAUCUGGGAAGAAACAGACGCUGAGUCCCGAAAGCGUGGGGAGCAAAUAGGAUUAGAUACCCCAGUAGUC
rnacentral:rRNA from 1 species